ACUACGGGUGGCAGCAGUGAGGAAUAUUGGUCAAUGGACGGAAGUCUGAACCAGCCAUGCCGCGUGCAGGAAGGCGGCUCUAUGAGUUGUAAACUGCUUUUGUACAAGGGUAAACCUGAAUACGUGUAUUCAGCUGAAAGUACUGUAAGAACAAGGAUCGGGUAACUCCGUGCAAGCAGACGGGGGAAUACGGAGGCUCCAUGCGUUAUCCGGAUUUAUUGGGUUGAAAUGGUGCGUAGGCGGUUUGAUAAGUGGGGGGUGAAAUGUCCGAGCUUAACUCGCGAACGGCAUCUAAUACUGUUGAUCUAGAGAGUAGAAGCGGUAGGCGGAAUGUAUGGUGUAGCGGUGAAAUGCUUAGAGAUCGUACAGAACACCGAUGGCGAAGGCAGCUUACCAAUCUAUAUCUGACGUUGAGGCACGAAGGCGUGGGGAGCAAACAGGAUUAGAUACCCCUGUAGUC
rnacentral:rRNA from 1 species